rnacentral:rRNA from 1 species
AUUGAACGCUGGCGGCAGGCCUAACACAUGCAAGUCGAACGAGUGGCGGACGGGUGAGUAAUGUCUGGGAAACUGCCUGCUGGAGGGGGAUAACUACUGGAAACGGUAGCUAAUCCCGCAUACCAUCAGCUCUGCCCAGAUGUGAUUAGCUGGUUUGUGGGGGAACGGCUCACCAACGCGACGCUCCCUAGCUGGUCUGAGAGGAUGACCAGCCACACUGGAACUGAGACACGAGCCAGACUCCGACGGGAGGCAGCAGUGGGGAAUAUUGCACAAUGGGCGCAAGCCUGAUGCAGCCAUGCCGCGUGUAUGAAGAAGGCCUGCGGGUUGUAAAGUACUUUCAGCGGGGAGGCGUUACCCGCAGAAGAAGCACCGGCUAACUCCGUGCCAGCCGCCGCGGUAAUAC